rnacentral:rRNA from 1 species
AUUGAACGCUGGUGGCAGGCUUAACACAUGCAAGUCGAGCGGGGUGAUGGUGCUUGCACUAUCACUUAGCGGCGGACGGGUGAGUAUGCUUAGGAAUCUGCCUAUUAGUGGGGGACAACAUCUCGAAAGGGAUGCUAAUACCGCAUACGUCCUACGGGAGAAAGCAGGGGAUCACUUGUGACCUUGCGCUAAUAGAUGAGCCUAAGUCGGAUUAGCUAGUUGGUGGGGUAAAGGCCUACCAAGGCGACGAUCUGUAGCGGGUCUGAGGGGAUGAUCCGCCACACUGGGACUGAGACACGGCCCAGACUCCUACGGGAGGCAGCAGUGGGGAAUAUUGGACAAUGGGGGGAACCCUGAUCCAGCCAUGCCGCGUGUGUGAAGAAGGCCUUAUGGUUGUAAAGCACUUUAAGCGAGGAGGAGGCUCUUUUGGUUAAUACCCAAGAUGAGUGGACGUUACUCGCAGAAUAAGCACCGGCUAACUCUGUGCCAGCAGCCGCGGUAA